GAACGCUAGCGGCAGGCUUAAUACAUGCAAGUCGAGGGGCAGCACGAAUAGCAAUAUUUGGUGGCGACCGGCAAACGGGUGCGGAACACGUACGCAACCUUCCCAAAACAGGUGAAUAGCCCUGCGAAAGUAGGAUUAAUACACCGUAAGAUAUAGAGGUGGCAUCACAAUUAUAUUAUAGGUCGCAAGAUCGGUUUUGGAUGGGCGUACGCCUGAUUAGGUAGUUGGUGCGGGUAACGGCCCACCAAGCCUCCGAUCAGUAACUGGUGUGAGAGCACGACCAGUCACACGGGCACUGAGACACGGGCCCGACUCCUACGGGAGGCAGCAGUAAGGAAUAUUGGUCAAUGGACGCAAGUCUGAACCAGCCAUGCCGCGUGCAGGAUGAAGGC
rnacentral:rRNA from 1 species